CAGCGCUGACAUUAUUCUGAUGUAAAGUUAAAACAGCGAGCUGCAGACAUAGGACAUUUUUCCCCUAAAUACAAAGGCGAUAGGAAGGGAUCAGUAGGAAACUGGCUGUUUGAAGGUCUGGCUAGGAGCAGGGGACGAAGCCAGGCAGUUCAAACACUUGCCAGUUCAGAGAUGAAGAGAGCCUUUCCCUAGAGAUGCCAAGAAAUCAAACCAUGUCAAAAUGAAGAGAUUUCCCGAGCUGUUCCUGAAAAGCUAAUUCAGCCCAAGGGGUUCUUGCUGUCUGAAACUCCGUGCUCUCUAAAUAGAGCAUACCUCAUGAAGACGAAACUGAUAUGGGUGAACAGAAGGAAUUGAUACCAGCAACUGGACUGAAAUGGAACAGAAGGAUAGAAGAUGUUCACGGCUGGCUAUGGUUCAUUUAUGUCUAAGGUCUUGGUUUUCUAUAAACUGGAAAAAAGGAGAAAAACAAGAAACGUGGUGAAUAUUUCCUUCAAAAAGAUGGAAGUUCAACAUCCAAUUUUCCUCAUGUUGCCACGCAUGAUGCCAUGGGACCAGAUCAUUAGGACUUCAGGGUACCCUAUCUCUGGCUGCAGUGCUAUUUCUUAAGAAAAGCGGGAAUUGCUUGGUCAUGCCUCCUUGGAGAUUUCCCAAACCUGAGCUGAUCUUCCUGAGCCAGCAUUAAAUUCCUACUGGCCUCAUAUUUCGUUUUGCCAUCCAGAUAAUGCUGAAAGCCACUGGGAAGAUGACAGUGACAAUCAAGCAGUUCUUUCCUAAAGGAAGAAAUAAAUAAGCAAAAUAUGCAGAAUGGGUUGAAGGCUCUGCCUGAGCAAACAGCACAACGUGCAUUGGGUUCAGCUGCCAGCGAAACCCUCAGCUGGAAACCAUAGCUCCAUCUCAUGGGCUUCACCCACCUUCCGAACCCGACGGACCCCUCUCGAAGCAGCCCUGGUGUUUCGUGCCCUGCUGCUGUCCCCGUGCUCCCCACCCACACGAACACCCCAAAGCUUGCGAUGCACUGCCCUCUAAUGUCAUUUUAGCAUACGAGCAGCUCGUGUCCUUCGAGGAUACCUAAUAAACAACGCAAAAGAUCAACCCCUCCUCCAGGACCUCUUCUCAUCCCACAGCACACAGAUCCACGCUCCCUUAGAGAUCACCAUCAGGGUGAAAAAAUGAGAUCAUGCUAUUUCCC